rnacentral:lncRNA from 1 species
CACGAAUUCUUCGUGCCUCAGAAUCAUAUGCUCUAGCAGCUUCUUCUGCAGUAUUGAAUGUUCCCAACCAGACACGUACCCCUUUCCUGGGAUCACGAAUCUCAGCAGCCCAUUUUCCCCAUGGACGCUGCCUAAUUCCUCUAAACUGGUUCUUUCUCUUCCUCUUGGCUGAUUUUUCAGCAGGUCCACUGAAUCCAGCAGAUUUAGAACCUUCAAUAACAACCAAAAAAAAAAAGGAAAGAUAUUAAGCACACGGGCACAGCUACUUUAGGUGCGUGCUGCUGCAUGAGCAAAGACUAUGAAGAUAUCAAAAAGGAGAAAAAACACUCAUGAGGCAGAAAGCAGACAACGACAAGAAGAAUUUUGGCUUUAAAUAGAUAAAAAGAUCCAAUUUUACUUGCAUUGAAUCACAAAAUGAAAUCAAGAUUUGAAGCAAAAUUUUCCUAACCUGGAGUUAUAUUGCAAUUCAAUAAUUAUUUACUACAUAGAGCUUAUUGUCUGACAAGAUAGUAAUUUAUCAAUUUUGAUUUUCUCAAAUUUAGACUUAAAGAGAAACCCCAUCAAAUCUGUGUUUAAUUUAUUUAACACCAACAUCAUGUAACCAAAAAACCCCCCAAUAAAACUAACAGCAGGAGAUCGUCACCAGAAGCAUUUUACACAGGUCUCUUCUGCAAGAGCAGAGAUUUUAACAGCUAAUGAUUUGAAGAAUCCAUAAAGUAAAGAUCUAACUGGUUUUACAAGUCCUAUCUAUUUGCUAGAUAAUAAUAAUAAUAAUAAUAAUAAUAAUAAAUUGUACCCAAAAUAAAUCAGUACACCUUAUACAACCAAUUUUGUCCAAAAAUAUACUUCAACCAAACCAGCAUAAAAAAUCAGAAAUCUACGGAUAAGAGAGGAUUUUGCUCCCCAUCUCAAAAGGUUUAAACUUCACAGCUUUGAGUUCUCACUAUUCAUCAUUUAUUUUCCUUCCACUUGUAAGGAAAUCUAACAACCAAAAAGGAGCAAUGGACAAAUUAAACAAUAAAGCUUGAUGAAAAGAGAUGGUUCCACGAAUCAAAGUCCUAGAUUUAAUAACACAGACAACCGAAAAAUAACAACAAUCAUAACAAAACAUAAUAAUAGCCCAACACUAAAUAAAUAAAUAAAUAAGAAAAAACAACCUUUAAUAUAGAAAAAAUUCCUGAUCAUAGCAGAAACUUACAAGAUCUGCAUCAUGAACGUAUAAGCUUUGUAAGAAAAAUGAACACAAAUCUAAUCCCGCAAAAAUGAUCAGUGAACACGCACACACAGCUAGAAAUUUAUCUCAUAUCAAUAUGAUCAGAAACAAAAACCCACAAGCCACCUCAAUAAACUAUGAUCAACAUAACCUACCAUAUAUCCCAUCAAGUUCAAAAUUACCAAAAAUCAAGACACAAAAUCAGUUUUUUUUAAAGAAAGUAAGAAACUUGAAAGAAAAAAAGCCAUAUAAAAAUUACUCUCAAUACUGUAGCAUCGAUCUCCCAGAAACUUGAUUCCCAAAAAAAUCACAAAAACCCAUUUCUAAGCUACAAUCAGCUAACCCAUAACCGUAAUAAUUAAGCAAGAAAAAUUAAGACAAACAAACAAAAGAAAAGGCAUUAUUACCACGAGGGAGCCCACGUUUUUGAGCAGGUUCAGAAACACUAGCAGAGAAAGCAAAUGGCUUGGCAUCAGCAAAGACAUCAUAAUCCUCGUCGACAUCAGACUCAUCCUUAAACUCUUGAAAAUCAGCCUCAAAAUCAUCUUCGGGAUCAGCAACA